UAAAAGCAAUUGUUGAUGGAGUUAUAAUUUGUGAUUUAAUUUGAUCUAUGUAUCUAUGAUUGGUUGCGCUAAUGGUGAUACUGGAUCCCUGAUAUAGCAAGUUUAAGGGAAACAAGUGUUGGUUGUUCAGGGAUAAAAACAGCAUCC